AUUGAACGCUGGCGGCAGGCCUAACACAUGCAAGUCGAGCGGCAGCGGAAAGUAGCUUGCUACUUUGCCGGCGAGCGGCGGACGGGUGAGUAAUGUCUGGGAAACUGCCUGAUGGAGGGGGAUAACUACUGGAAACGGUAGCUGAUACCGCAUAACGUCGCAAGACCAAAGAGGGGGACCUUCGGGCCUCUUGCCAUCCGAUGUGCCCAGAUGGGAUUAGCUAGUAGGUGGGGUAACGGCUCACCUAGGCGAAGAUCCCUAGCUGGUCUGAGAGGAUGACCAGCCACACUGGAACUGAGACACGGUCCAGACUCCUACGGGAGGCAGCAGUGGGGAAUAUUGCACAAUGGGCGCAAGCCUGAUGCAGCCAUGCCGCGUGUAUGAAGAAGGCCCUCGGGUUGUAAAGUACUUUCAGCGGGGAGGAAGGUGUUAAGGUUAAUAACCUCAGCAAUUGACGUUACCCGCAGAAGAAGCACCGGCUAACUCCGUGCCAGCAGCCGCCGUAACAC
rnacentral:rRNA from 1 species